rnacentral:misc_RNA from 1 species
UCUCCGUUGGUGAACCAGCGGAGGGAUCAUUACAGGACUCGCAAGACUCCUACAACCCUGUGAACUUAACUAUAAGCACGUUGCUUCGGCGGGUGUCUCGGAGGGGGUUCUCCCUCCCCGAGACGCUAAACCCGCCGGCAGCCUACUAUACUCUGUCUCUUGGCGUUGGCAUCUCGAGUACAAUCAAACAAGUUAAAACUUUCAACAACGGAUCUCUUGGUUCUG